CUAGUACUCCCUCCAUCCGGAAAUACUUGUCAUCAAAAUGAAUAAAAGGGGAUGUAUCUAGAUGUAUUUUAGUUCUAGAUACAUCCCUUUUUGUCCAUUUUGAUGACAAGUAUUUUCGGACGGAGGGAGUACCAA
rnacentral:pre_miRNA from 1 species